GUCCCUAUCGUCUAGCCCGGUCUAGGACGUUGCCCUUUCACGGCAAAGACAGGGGUUCAAAUCCCCUUAGGGACG
rnacentral:tRNA from 1 species